rnacentral:rRNA from 1 species
AAGUCGAGGGGCAGCAUGAUUUGUAGCAAUACAGAUUGAUGGCGACCGGCGCACGGGUGAGUAACGCGUAUGCAACUUACCUAUCAGAGGGGGAUAGCCCGGCGAAAGUCGGAUUAAUACCCCAUAAAACAGGGGUCCCGCAUGGGAAUAUUUGUUAAAGAUUCAUCGCUGAUAGAUAGGCAUGUGUUCCAUUAGGCAGUUGGCGGGGUAACGGCCCACCAAACCGACGAUGGAUAGGGGUUCUGAGAGGAAGGUCCCCCACAUUGGUACUGAGACACGGACCAAACUCCUACGGGAGGCAGCAGUGAGGAAUAUUGGUCAAUGGCCGAGAGGCUGAACCAGCCAAGUCGCGUGAAGGAAGAAGGAUCUAUGGUUUGUAAACUUCUUUUAUAGGGGAAUAAAGUGGAGGACGUGUCCUUUUUUGUAUGUACCCUAUGAAUAAGCAUCGGCUAACUCCGUGCCAGCAGCCGCGGUAAUACGGAGGAUGCGAGCGUUAUCCGGAUUUAUUGGGUUUAAAGGGUGCGUAGGUGGUGAUUUAAGUCAGCGGUGAAAGUUUGUGGCUCAACCAUAAAAUUGCCGUUGAAACUGGGUUACUUGAGUGUGUUUGAGGUAGGCGGAAUGCGUGGUGUAGCGGUGAAAUGCAUAGAUAUCACGCAGAACUCCGAUUGCGAAGGCAGCUUACUAAACCAUAACUGACACUGAAGCACGAAAGCGUGGGGAUC